GUGCACACGCGUCCAAACAACGACGCGGACGCCCGUUGGCCGCACUCUGGCCGCGCCGAGCCGUUAGUUUGAAUGUUAGAAGUGAUGGGGGAAAAGUUAGCGAAGGGUCGGGGUGUGCUGUUCCUCCUGCUCGGCUCCCCUAGGAUGUAUCCUUAGGGUAAACCUGUUAGCGCGGGGCUGCGCAGGAAUCCCUUCGGUAUCUUAACACCGUUCUCUGGCCUAAAGGUUGUAAUAUGAAGAGGCGGCUCUCAAACCUUGGUCGAAAGAAGACGAUGGAGAGACGCCGAAUCUGAGGCCUUGGCUCCCGUGUUUGGGACCAGGAGGGAAGGAGAGAAGAUAGAUUUCGCUGAGACACUUGCCCGGGUCCCUUUGUGGGUCAGAAUGGGUCCCGAUGAGAACCUGAGUGUGAGAGUGAAACUACGGAGUAUCAUUUGUAGCUUUGUUCCUCAAGACUUGCCAUGAGAUUUAAGUAGAGCGCCUGUGUGGAAAUUGUUAAUUGUAGCUAGUCAGAUCGAAGACUAUUGACAGCAUUUUGAGUUUAUGUGUUUGUUUCUUUAUAUCUACUGUGUAUCUGUGUCUGUGGAUUGUAUCCGAGUCCUUGUGUGUGUAUUUUAAAAUACAUACAUUAGGGGAAAAAAAAUACAAAAAAGCAGCAUUGACUUGUCAGGCCCCAGCAGAGGCCCAGAGCGCCCCCG